rnacentral:rRNA from 1 species
UACGUAGGGGGCUAGCGUUGUCCGGAAUCAUUGGGCGUAAAGCGCGUGUAGGCGGUCCGGUAAGUCCGCUGUGAAAGUCGGGGGCUCAACCCUCGGAUGCCGGUGGAUACUGUCGGGCUUGAGUACGGAAGAGGCGAGUGGAAUUCCUGGUGUAGCGGUGAAAUGCGCAGAUAUCAGGAGGAACACCAAUAGCGAAGGCAGCUCGCUGGGACGGUACUGACGCUAAGGCGCGAAAGCGUGGGGAGCGAACAGG